GGCCUGUCAGCGUAGCUCAAUUGGAAGAGCACUCGCUUGGCAAUUCGAUGGUCAUGGGUUCGAUCCCAUGCUUGGUCG
rnacentral:tRNA from 1 species